rnacentral:rRNA from 1 species
AUUGAACGCUGGCGGCAUGCCUUACACAUGCAAGUCGAACGGCAGCACGGGUGCUUGCACCUGGUGGCGAGUGGCGAACGGGUGAGUAAUACAUCGGAACAUGUCCUGUAGUGGGGGAUAGCCCGGCGAAAGCCGGAUUAAUACCGCAUACGAUCUACGGAUGAAAGCGGGGGACCUUCGGGCCUCGCGCUAUAGGGUUGGCCGAUGGCCGAUUAGCUAGUUGGUGGGGUAAAGGCCUACCAAGGCGACGAUCAGUAGCUGGUCUGAGAGGACGACCAGCCACACUGGGACUGAGACACGGCCCAGACUCCUACGGGAGGCAGCAGUGGGGAAUGUUGGACAAUGGGCGAAAGCCUGAUCCAGCAAUGCCGCGUGUGUGAAGAAGGCCUUCGGGUUGUAAAGCACUUUUGUCCGAAAAGAAAUCCUUGGCCCUAAUACGGUCGGGGGAUGACGGUACCGGAAGAAUAAGCACCGGCUAACUACGUG